rnacentral:rRNA from 1 species
GAUGAACGCUAGCGACAGGCUUAACACAUGCAAGUCGAGGGGCAGCACAGGUAGCAAUACCGGGUGGCGACCGGCGCACGGGUGAGUAACGCGUAUGCAACUUGCCUAUCAGAGGGGGAUAACCCGGCGAAAGUCGGACUAAUACCGCAUGAAGCAGGGGCCCCGCAUGGGGAUAUUUGCUAAAGAUUCAUCGCUGAUAGAUAGGCAUGCGUUCCAUUAGGCAGUUGGCGGGGUAACGGCCCACCAAACCGACGAUGGAUAGGGGUUCUGAGAGGAAGGUCCCCCACAUUGGUACUGAGACACGGACCAAACUCCUACGGGAGGCAGCAGUGAGGAAUAUUGGUCAAUGGGCGUAAGCCUGAACCAGCCAAGUCGCGUGAGGGAUGAAGGUUCUAUGGAUCGUAAACCUCUUUUAUAAGGGAAUAAAG